AUUGAACGCUGGCGGCAGGCCUAACACAUGCAAGUCGAGCGAGCGGCGGACGGGUGAGUAAUGUAUGGGGACUGCCCGAUAGAGGGGGAAAAUACUGGAAAAGGUGGUAAAUACCGCCUACUGUCGGAUAACCCAUAUGGGAUUAGCUAUUGGGUAAGGUAAUGGCUUAACUAGGCGACGAUCCCUAGCUGGUAGGAGAGGAUGAUCAGCCACACUGGGACUGAGACACGGCCCAGACUCCUACGGAGGCAGCAGUGGGGAAUAUUGCACAAUGGGCGCAAGCCUGAUGCAGCCAUGCCGCGUGUAUGAAGAAGGCCCUAGGGUUGUAAAGUACUUUCAGUCGGGAGGCGUUACCGACAGAAGAAGCACCGGCUAACUCCGUGCCAGCCGCCGCGGUAAUUC
rnacentral:rRNA from 1 species